CCUAUAAGAAAGCCAUCCAACUUUUUGGCAGCGUCGACAAUUUCCCGUGAACGCCUAGGAGUAGUGAUCGGUUUCAAGAUCUGACGACUGCUUUGCGUAGCGUCUCCGUCUGUUUUCCGUCGACCGAUCACUUCAAAAUCAGACAGCCGAUUAGGCUAAGGGAAGUGGUAACAUUUUUAACAUCUUGUCAUGUCAAAUUUUAGAGUGUCACCUCAGUUUUGACCAUUUAGCACCUAAUCUUAGCAUUUGGUAGGGAGUGAUAACACCUUAACACUUCAUUUUUUUUAUUUUCUUUUUUUAAUUUGAUUAAAUUACGUUGUAUUAAAAUAGAAACAUUUUUUGUACAUAAAUAUUAAAUAAAUUUUAUUUUUUAGCCACUAAGAAGAUAAAGUUCAAUAUAAGUUAUAUAUUACUAAUAUAUACUCCCACAAGCUCCAAUCAUAUCCUUUUUAAGAUAUAACGUAGCUAUUACUUCAUUAUCCAUAUUAAUUAAACUCCUCAAAUAAUGGGUCACACAUAGUAUAUUUUUAGUUAACUGCCAUCAUAAAUGCAAUAUGAGCUUGUAAAUACCACUCAACUGUGCUUACAUGCAUAGUAUGUGUCUUCCCACUACUUGUUACACCAUAUGUAAAUACUGUAUUUGUAGUCAUACAUUAGCCCCAACUAGUGUUUUACUCAAUCUAUUUUUUAAUUUGUACGAGGAAUAAACUCAGGCAAUUAGCGUAAUAGUGUUUUUAAAUUUGGAUAUAGUUUUACCACACCAUUUAUGCCGUCCAUAACAGCCUUUAUAACAGGUCCAUGAGCUACUUCAUACAUUUCAUGAGUCUCCGCAAAGGAUCCAAACACCCUAUAUGUUAUAUUGUAACGCUCGCAGAUUCGGACUAGACACUUUAGAGAUAAUAAGCGUUAAAAAUGACUUUUUGAUAGAAGAUUAUUUAGGAUAAAUAAUCUCAACAAAAGUUAUAGUAUAUGUGACACAGAUUUCGUACAUAUAAAGAACGCUAAAAUCAAACUUAGAAUGAAGAAGUUAUGAUUCUUCGAAGUUUCGCGAUUAAACCGACACGACUAUACGUAUCGUAAAAAGUGAAUUUUAGAUAAAUUACUUUAGCCUUAAUAAUCUAAAUGAAAGUCGUAGUAUUCAUUAAAUCGAGAGCGUGCACAUAGAGAACGUCCAAAUCUAAAUUCAGUAUAGGAAGUUAUGAUUUUUCGAAGUUUCAGCGCAACAGUGCAACACAAAUCGAAUUUUAGAUCGGUCAAUUUUAGCCAAAAUGAUCUAAAUGAGAAUUAAAUAUCUCAUUAAUAGGAGUUCAAUGAUAAAAAGACAGUAAAAAAUGGAGUUUGUAUGUAGAAGUUAUGAAUUUUACACGGUCAUCAACAGUGUGAUCUUCUCAUACUAUUAAAUUUAAGAUCGGUCGAGAAUUAGCCGAUGGAGUAAAAGGAAAGUUGUAGUAAUUGUAAAUACCUACGCGUGGAUAUAAAGAACGUCAAAAACGGAGCUCAUAUGCGAAAGUUAUGAAUUUUUUAAGAUCGGCAGUUUUACCUGCGUCCGGUGUCACGUGUCAGCAUCAGGCGAAGCCUAGGUGCCUACGCAAGCUCACGACAUGAGAGGCAUGUCUCACGAAGUGAGAGGCCCUUGGACAGCCUAUAAAUAGAGCCGAAUUUCACUCAUUUCUUCACACAUUUCCAUUCCAUCCUCUCCCAAACCCCUAAGGCCUCAAUGCCUUUCUCUGUCACUUCCUAGGUGUUAGUAGCAAAGUUGCGGAGCGUCGGAAAGCCCCGGGAAAUAGAGCUUUUGGUUUAGAAUUCCUGCCCACGCAGAGUCUGGUUUCUCGCUAAACCACCUGUAAGUUGAUUUAUGCUUACCGUACUUUAAGUAUAACUUAUUUUUAAGUUCAUUAUCGUUAUUAUGAACCUAUAAACAAUAUUUAUCAGUGAUUACAAGUCGAUAUUGAUUGAUCUACUUACUAGGAUGAUGUCUAGGUUGAAUUUACUGAGGUGUUUAAAGUGGUAUUUCAAAACAGUAUACUUUGUAUACCAAACGGACCCUACCUCCGAUAUGAUCCUACCUGGUUGUUCCUUACUUGAUAAAUCUUGAAGUAGACUUUGAAUUAAUGAUGAAUCCAGACUAAUAAUUAGUCGUAAUAAAUAUCAGACUAAGACUUAGUGAUAAUGAUAUUAGGUUACGUGGAAGGAAAAGACAGUUGCUAGGAGCGAAGUGUUAUCUGAGUUUCGAGUCAUCACUUUAACAAGUGAGUGCAUAGUCCAUUUCAUGAACAUGAUUUUAAGACAAAUAUUAAUUAAAGUAUUAAAUAUAUGUUUAUGUGUGAGAUAUUUGAUAUUGCCUGAAAUACGUGUUAAGAGCAUAUCUAAUAAUAUAUGAUGAUUUAGUACUUACAAAAUAAACCUAAACUAAUUAAGAUGCACUACUAGAAAAAAGGCCUUUAAUGACGCGCAAAAAAUGACACUCACCGAUAGAGGGCGCGCAUUUGUGGGUGCCCUAAAAAAUAGUGUCAGUUUUGCAAAAUUUGAAGGAUAGAAAACACGCAUUUGUGCGUGCCCUAAAAUUAGUGUUAGAAAAGAAAAAAAAGAAAAUGCGGAGGGCGCCUUUUAUAAAACGUGCGUCAUGUAAGUAUGUCGCUUUAUAAAUUUUUAAUGAAACACGCCUUUUAGGCAGGAAAUGAUCGAUUGACAAAAAUCCCCAAAAUUUUGGAGGACCCGCUCAUUCAUUCCUCUCCACUUGCUGAUGACCUUCAUUUUCUCCCCCUCCUUCUCUCUGUAAAACCUAGCAGCCGCCACCACCAGAAACAUGGUUUUAUGUUGGCUUCGUUCUGUGUUGUAAGAACGAGAGUCUGAUCCUCCAUUAAUAGCUAAAGGGGGGAAAUCCCCCAAAAUUUUGAAGUACCCCGCUCACUCCUCUUCACCUCUACCCUACUCCAUCUACAACGACUCCCCAUGUUUACAAACCCUAUAAUUCAAAACGAUUUUCCAUUCCUCACGAGUGCUUUCCAGUCAACGACCUGAUCAGCCUCAUCGGCAACCUCGGUCUCACCUCACCUCGUCAGCGAGCUGAGGCUCACCUCUACACACAUGCGACUACAACUCUUCAAAUCACCUAAGCCCUACCCUUUCUCUCUAUUCACCCGCCUCUUCACCCACGUCCAACGCCUCCAACAAGAAGCCCUAGGGCCUCCGCCUUCACCCACGUUCUCACUGUCGAUCGUGAAUCGGUUUUCAGGUUAUUCCAAGAUUCAACCAACACGGAGGUGGAGGUAGGUUCCGAUUUCGUAUCAAAAGACUUCACCUUCAGGCGGAACAAAAAACUAGGGAUCAAUUCGAUUAAUCAGUAGCAAAAUUAAGACAUAAUCUCAAAACUUGGCAUGGAAAGAGUCUUGAAAUCCACUUCAGGUUCGUUCAUUAAGUUUCUACCCUCAUCGACGCACAAUAGAGGCUGGUUUCGUGGGUUCUUUCACCUUUACACCAACGACGGUGGAGCUAGAGAGAGAGUUUAUGGUGUGCAGUUAAUGCUAUUCAAAUAUGUUAUUUACCAGCCUCAUCCAGGUUUCAGAACCAACUUAUUCUCGAAUAAUCUCUGCUCAGAUCCAAUACCUUCCUUAUUCCUCAUUCAGUAUCCUCAUUCCUCACCUGAUCAGCGAAUCCAAUUCCCCUCCACCUUACUCCAACUCGAUCGGACUCGACUCACUUACUUAUACCCACUGGAACCGAUCAAGUAAGUUUAUCUUACACAAAUAAGACAUAACUAAAAAUAAUGAUGUUGAAGUUGAAGCACAAAGAGGCAGAUGGAAGGGAGAGGAGCAUGAUAGUUACUGCAGGUGAAUGCAGAAGUAUGUAGGUGUUGAUAUCACAUCAAUGGUGACUCUACCAGUACUCAUUUUUGAACCCAUGACAAUGCUACAGAAAAUGGCAGAGAACUCGUUUGAAGCUAAAGAAAGAUGGAUUAAUUCUAGAAUCAGUACCCCCUCCAACAAAAGUCAUCAAUUUAAUAUUUGGAAGAACAUAGUUGGUUCGGUGCUGGAUGAUAUGAAGUGUAUGGAUAUGUAUACAAUUCGAAAGAACCAAAAAUAUUAAUGACAGGAAAAUAGAAUGAAUCCAUGAGCUAUCAGCCUUGUGAUUAUGAAGAGGAACCUGUCCCAAAUACUGAACUCACACAGAUAUUAUUGAAGACCUAUACAGUCCUAGGACCGCAGCAAUGGACUUUGUGAGCGAACUGGUAAGAAAACAUGGAAAAGAGAAGCUUCAAAAGUUCAUAUUAUUUAUUGUGGAGAUUUUUAAAAGUUUGUGCACAAGAAUUGGCUUAAGCUCCUUGAACCGAGUUUCAGCAAGAUCAAAACCAUCCUUCCGGUGUUCCUGCAAUAAAAAAAACAAGUCAAAGAAGAUUUACUGAAAAGAAAAAAAGUAUUAAUGGUGUAAUUAAUGGCUAUUCACUACAGAGCGGGAGCGGAUGACAAGCCUUUGUGGAUGGUGAAAACGGUUCUUCAUGAGCUUGUAAAGCUUCGUGGGACAGUAAUAAAUGGUCAUCUUUCCAUGGUCCCAAUUGACAUGGAACCCCAACCCAUAAUCCUUGACUACAUCGAUCUUAAUCUUCAGACAUUGGCUGCUGCCAGAAUGUUGACCCCUGCUGGCCCUGUUGAUCUUGAAUAAGCAAAGGGGCAAUGAAUUGUAUUUUUUGUAUCUAAUUCGUUUGUAAAUCUUUGUUACAACUUCUAUUGAUUUGUUUUAUCUUUCCAUGGAACGAUUAUUUGUAUGAAAUUAAAUUUAUGCAAUGGAUUCUAUUUUUUGUA